rnacentral:rRNA from 1 species
GACGAACGCUGGCGGCGUGCUUAACACAUGCAAGUCGAACGGAAAGGCCCUUCGGGGUACUCGAGUGGCGAACGGGUGAGUAACACGUGGGUGAUCUGCCCUGCACUUUGGGAUAAGCCUGGGAAACUGGGUCUAAUACCGAAUAGGACCACGCGCUUCAUGGUGUGUGGUGGAAAGCUUUUGCGGUGUGGGAUGGGCCCGCGGCCUAUCAGCUUGUUGGUGGGGUAAUGGCCUACCAAGGCGACGACGGGUAGCCGGCCUGAGAGGGUGACCGGCCACACUGGGACUGAAAUACGGCCCAGACUCCUACGGGAGGCAGCAGUGGGGAAUAUUGCACAAUGGGCGCAAGCCUGAUGCAGCGACGCCGCGUGAGGGAUGACGGCCUUCGGGUUGUAAACCUCUUUCAAUAGGGACGAAGCGCAAGUGACGGUACCUAUAGAAGAAGCACCGGCCAACUACGUG